GACGAACGCUGGCGGCGUGCUUAACACAUGCAAGUCGAACGGAAAGGCCCUGCUUUUGUGGGGUGCUCGAGUGGCGAACGGGUGAGUAACACGUGAGUAACCUGCCCUUGACUUUGGGAUAACUUCAGGAAACUGGGGCUAAUACCGGAUAGGAGCUCCUGCUGCAUGGAGGGGGUUGGAAAGUUUCGGCGGUUGGGGAUGGACUCGCGGCUUAUCAGCCUGGUGGUGGGGUAGUGGCUUACCAAGGCUUUGACGGGUAGCCGGCCUGAGAGGGUGGCCGGCCACAUUGGGACUGAGAUACGGCCCAGACUCCUACGGGAGGCAGCGGUGGGGAAUAUUGCACAAUGGGCGGAAGCCUGAUGCAGCAACGCCGCGUGCGGGAUGACGGCCUUCGGGUUGUAAACCGCUUUCGCCUGUGACGAAGCGUGAGUGACGGUAAUGGGUAAAGAAGCACCGGCUAACUACGUG
rnacentral:rRNA from 1 species